CAGAAAUUGAAGCCAAGGAAGCUUGUGAUUGGCUACGGGCAACUGGUUUCCCCCAGUAUGCACAGCUUUAUGAAGAUCUUCUGUUCCCCAUUGAUAUUUCCUUGGUCAAAAGAGAACAUGAUUUUUUGGACAGAGACGCCAUUGAGGCCUUAUGCAGGCGCCUAAAUACUUUAAACAAAUGUGCAGUGAUGAAGCUGGAAAUAAGUCCUCAUCGGAAGGGAGUGAGUAUAUAGAAUGUAUAAUAGGAUGGGAGGAAAGGGGGCAGACCAAAACCUGGACUAUGUGUUUUGUAAGGGGUUUUGUCUCUCAAACUCUUAUUACUUCCUUGUUCCAAAAAUCUACACUUUUAAUGUUAUAAUCCAGUCAAGUUUACCAAAGAUCAAGUAGCCUUAUGUAACUGAAACCAGCAGUUCCAGCUAGCCAAUAAAUUGAGGUUUUUCCCAUUGGUUGUUUUUUUU
rnacentral:lncRNA from 1 species